rnacentral:rRNA from 1 species
UACGUAGGGGGCAAGCGUUGUCCGGAUUUAUUGGGCGUAAAGAGCGUGUAGGCGGCCAUGUAGGUCCGUUGUGAAAACUCGAGGCUCAACCUCGAGACGCCGAUGGAAACCAUGUGGCUAGAGUCCGGAAGAGGAGAGUGGAAUUCCUGGUGUAGCGGUGAAAUGCGUAGAUAUCAGAAGGAACAUCAGUGGCGAAAGCGGCUUCCUGGUCCAGUACCGACGUUCAGGCACGAAAGCGUGGGGAGCAAACAGG